CCGAGUUCCAGUGGACUCCCAACCCUGUGUGAUCGAACCUCUGUUGCCUCGGCAGUAGCGGUUGAGCCUUCCCAACAUGGCGAGGGCUCCCAGCUGCCGGGCACCACAAAACUCUUGCAUAAUGGCAUCUCUGAGUGGAUUCUAUAAUGAGUCA
rnacentral:misc_RNA from 1 species